rnacentral:rRNA from 1 species
UACAGGGGGGGCAAGCGUUGUUCGGAAUUACUGGGCGUAAAGGGCUCGUAGGCGGCCAACUAAGUCCGACGUGAAAUCCCCAAAGCUUAACUUUGGAACUGCGUCGGAUACUGGAUGGCUUGAACUCGGGAGAGGGAUGCAGAAUUCCAGGUGUAGCGGUGAAAUGCGUAGAUAUCUGGAGGAAUACCGGUGGCGAAGGCGGCAUCCUGGACCGACAUUGACGCUGAGGAGCGAAAGCUAGGGGAGCAAACAGGG